ACGAACGCUGGCGGCGUGCUUAACACCUGCAAGUCGAACGGAAAGGCCCUGCUUGCAGGGUACUCGAGUGGCGAACGGGUGAGUAACACGUGGGUGAUCUGCCCUGCACUUCGGGAUAAGCUUGGGAAACUGGGUCUAAUACCGGAUAGGAACCAUCUUUAGUGUGGUGGUUGGAAAGUUUUUUCGGUGUAGGAUGAGCUCGCGGCCUAUCAGCUUGUUGGUGGGGUAAUGGCCUACCAAGGCGGCGACGGGUAGCCGGCCUGAGAGGGUGUACGGCCACAUUGGGACUGAGAUACGGCCCAGACUCCUACGGGAGGCAGCAGUGGGGAAUAUUGCACAAUGGGCGCAAGCCUGAUGCAGCGACGCCGCGUGGGGGAUGAAGGCCUUCGGGUUGUAAACUCCUUUCGCUAGGGACGAAGCUUUGUUGUGACGGUACCUAGAUAAGAAGCACCGGCUAACUACGUG
rnacentral:rRNA from 1 species